rnacentral:rRNA from 1 species
AUUGAACGCUGGCGGCAGGCCUAACACAUGCAAGUCGAGCGAGCGGCGGACGGGUGAGUAAUGUAUGGGGACUCCCCGAUAGAGGGGGAUAACUACUGGAAACGCUAGCUAAUACCGCAUACUACCUGAUAACCCACAUGUGAGUAUCUGGUAGGUGGGGUAAUGGCUCACCCAGGCGACGAUCCCUAGCUGGUCUGAGAGGAUGAUCAGCCACACUGGAACUGAGACACGGCCCAGAGUCCUACGGAGGCAGCAGUGGGGAAUAUUGCACAAUGGGCGCAAGCCUGAUGCAGCCAUGCCGCGUGUAUGAAGAAGGCCGUAGGGUUGUAAAGUACUUUCAGUCGGGAGGCGUUACCAGCAGAAGAAGCACCGGCUAACUCCGUGCCAGCAGCCGCGGUAAUUC